CCUACGGGUGGCAGCAGUGGGGAAUAUUGCGCAAUGGGCGAAAGCCGGACGCAGCGACGCCGCGGGAGGGAUGAAGGUCUUCGGAUCGUAAACCUCUGUCAGCAGGGAAGAACGGUCACUGUGCUAAUCAGCAGUGAAUUGACGGUACCUGCAAAGGAAGCACCGGCUAACUCCGUGCCAGCAGCCGCGGUAAUACGGAGGGUGCGAGCGUUAAUCGGAAUUACUGGGCGUAAAGCGCUCGUAGGCGGUAUGUCAAGUCAAGGGUGAAAUCCCCGCGCUCAACGUGGGAACUGCCUUUGAAACUGGCAACCUGGAGUGUGUGAGAGGCUAGUGGAAUUCCAGGUGUAGACGUGAAAUCCGUAGAUAUCUGGCGGAACAUCAGUGGCGAAGGCGACUGUCUGGCACAUAACUGACGCUGAGGAGCGAAAGCGUGGGUAGCAAACAGGAUUAGAUACCCCUGUAGUC
rnacentral:rRNA from 1 species